UGCAAGUCGAACGAUGAUGCCCAGCUUGCUGGGCGGAUUAGUGGCGAACGGGUGAGUAAUACGUGAGUAACCUGCCCUUGACUCUGGGAUAAGCCUGGGAAACUGGGUCUAAUACUGGAUACUACCUCUUACCGCAUGGUGGGUGGUGGAAAGGGUUUUACUGGUUUUGGAUGGGCUCACGGCCUAUCAGCUUGUUGGUGGGGUAAUGGCUCACCAAGGCGACGACGGGUAGCCGGCCUGAGAGGGUGACCGGCCACACUGGGACUGAGACACGGCCCAGACUCCUACGGGAGGCAGCAGUGGGGAAUAUUGCACAAUGGGCGGAAGCCUGAUGCAGCGACGCCGCGUGAGGGAUGACGGCCUUCGGGUUGUAAACCUCUUUCAGUAGGGAAGAAGCGAGAGUGACGGUACCUGCAGAAGAAGCGCCGGCUAACUACGUGCCAGCAGCCGCGGUAAUACGUAGGGCGCAAGCGUUGUCCGGAAUUAUUGGGCGUAAAGAGCUCGUAGGCGGUUUGUCGCGUCUGCUGUGAAAGCCCGGGGCUCAACCCCGGGUCUGCAGUGGGUACGGGUAGACUAGAGUGCAGUAGGGGAGACUGGAAUUCCUGGUGUAGCGGUGAAAUGCGCAGAUAUCAGGAGGAACACCGAUGGCGAAGGCAGGUCUCUGGGCUGUUACUGACGCUGAGGAGCGAAAGCAUGGGGAGCGAACAGGAUUAGAUACCCUGGUAGUCCAUGCCGUAAACGUUGGGCACUAGGUGUG
rnacentral:rRNA from 1 species